rnacentral:rRNA from 1 species
GACGAACGCUGGCGGCGCGCCUAACACAUGCAAGUCGAACGGGACUGCGAGAAGCUUGCUUUUUGCAGUCUAGUGGCGGACGGGUGAGUAACACGUGAGCAACCUGCCUCUAAGUGGGGAAUAACGGCUGGAAACGGUCGCUAAUACCGCAUAUGCUCACAGUAUCACAUGAUACAGUGAGGAAAGGAGUAAUCCACUGAUAGAUGGGCUUGCGUCUGAUUAGCUAGUUGGUGGGGCAACGGCCUACCAAGGCGACGAUCAGUAGCCGGACUGAGAGGUUGAACGGCCACAUUGGGACUGAGAUACGGCCCAG